rnacentral:rRNA from 1 species
GACAGGAGCUUGCUCCUGAAUUCAGCGGCGGACGGGUGAGUAAUGCCUAGGAAUCUGCCUGGUAGUGGGGGACAACGUUUCGAAAGGAACGCUAAUACCGCAUACGUCCUACGGGAGAAAGCAGGGGACCUUCGGGCCUUGCGCUAUCAGAUGAGCCUAGGUCGGAUUAGCUAGUUGGUGAGGUAAUGGCUCACCAAGGCGACGAUCCGUAACUGGUCUGAGAGGAUGAUCAGUCACACUGGAACUGAGACACGGUCCAGACUCCUACGGGAGGCAGCAGUGGGGAAUAUUGGACAAUGGGCGAAAGCCUGAUCCAGCCAUGCCGCGUGUGUGAAGAAGGUCUUCGGAUUGUAAAGCACUUUAAGUUGGGAGGAAGGGUUGUAGAUUAAUACUCUGCAAUUUUGACGUUACCGACAGAAUAAGCACCGGCUAACUCUGUGCCAGCAGCCGCGGUAAUACAGAGGGUGCAAGCGUUAAUCGGAAUUACUGGGCGUAAAGCGCGCGUAGGUGGUUCGUUAAGUUGGAUGUGAAAG